ACAUGGCCAAAAAUGAACACAAGAAACCUGAAUUCCUUACCCGGAACGUAAGUUAAACCCAACUUAUCUAUAUCCUUUAAUGUUCUAAUUUCAUUUGGAUUGAUGUAUUGUAUAUGUCUCUACUUCUGCAGCCAUUCGGUCAAGUUCCAGCGUUUGAGGAUGGUGAUCUCAAGUUGUUCGGUAAGGAUCUCCUGUCGAUUUUAGUUUGUAUAAGGAAUCACUGUUGUUUCGAAAUGAUUUAAGAUUUUGUUUUUUAGUUUGUAGCUUGUAAAUUAUAAUGAAAUGAUCAAUUUAACCUUGGAAUUUGAUGAAGUAAUUAAUUUGGUUCAGAAUCAAGGGCGAUUACUCAAUACAUAGCACACGCGUAUGCCGACAAGGGUAACGAUCUGAUAUUCGAGGAUCCGAAGAAAAUGGCGAAACUGUCGGUGUGGAUGGAAGUGGAGUCCCAGAAAUAUGAACCGAUAGCUUCGAAACUGGUGUGGGAGCUUCUUUUGAAGCCGAUGUUUGGGAUGACUACCGACGAGGCGAUUGUGGAAGAGUACGAGAAGAAAAUGGAGGGGUUGCUUGACGUGUACGAAUCACGGCUGUCGGAGAGCAAGUAUUUGGGCGGAGAUUGCUUCACUUUGGUGGAUCUCCACCACCUCCCUACCAUGAAGUACUUGAUGGGAACGCGGGUGAAGAAGCUGUUUGACGCGCGGCCCAAUGUCAGCGCGUGGGCUGCCGAAAUCCAGUCAAGGCCUGGCUGGAUCAAAGCUAUUACCGCCUAAUCAAAACGAGCUCUUAAUUAUGGUUUGGAAAGAUCUACUCAUUAAAUUUGAUGCUUGAUGAGAUUUAGAUGUUUGUAAUGCCGUGUGUGUGUGUGUGCAAUGUAUCAGUUGCCCUUUCAACAACUACUAGUAAUAAAAUAAAAUUUUGAUUAUUGAAAUAACUUCAGAUAUUAUAUAUGUAGUGGCAUAUAUGUAAACACCAAAUCAUAUUCUUUGAUGUAAA
rnacentral:lncRNA from 1 species